GAUGAAGAACGUAGCGAAAUGCGAUAAGUAAUGUGAAUUGCAGAAUUCAGUGAAUCAUCGAAUCUUUGAACGCACAUUGCGCCCGCCAGUAUUCUGGCGGGCAUGCCUGUUCGAGCGUCAUUUCAACCCUCAGGCCCCCAGUGCCUGGUGUUGGGGAUCGGCCCAGCCUUCCUGUAAGGCCGCCGGCCCCGAAAUCUAGUGGCGGUCUCGCUGUAGUCCUCCUCUGCGUAGUAGCACAACCUCGCAGUUGGAACGCGGCGGUGGCCAUGCCGUUAAACACCCCACUUCUGAAAGUUGACCUCGGAUCAGGUAGGAAUACCCGCUGAACUUAAGCAUAUCAAUAAGCGGAGUA
rnacentral:misc_RNA from 1 species